GACAUGGGUGGCAAACGUUAUCCGGAAUUAUUGGGCGUAAAGAGCUCGUAGGCGGUCAGUCGCGUCGAUCGUGAAAGCCCGAGGCUCAACCUCGGAAUUGCGGUCGAUACGGGCUGACUAGAGUUCGGUAGGGGAGACUGGAAUUCCUGGUGUAGCAGUGAAAUGCGUAGAUAUCAAGUGGAACACCAGUGGCGAAGGCGAGUCUCUGGACAUUUCCUGACGCUGAGGCACGAAAGCCAGGGGAGCAAACGGG
rnacentral:rRNA from 1 species